UGCUUGAGAUAAAACUUGACAAGAUGUAUUCUUUCAGUAUUUUAUUUUUAUUUAUUUUAUAACUGCCUACUCUUUUUCCUUACAUGUUUUUUUUAUUUCUAUUAUUUUCUCUGUGUACCAUUUUUUUUUCAUAAUCAGCGACUUGUAUUCGAAUGACGAAAAUUAAAAAAAUACGUAAAAGCCAUUAAGAUAUAGGAAUCCAAAAUGCUGCAUUUGCAAAAAUCCUGAAUGUGUAUUAUUCAAGAUUUUUUUUUCUUUUGAAGAGCAGGAAUGUUUAAAAUACAGAUGCUUUAGGCGCUACAUUCCUAGGGCGAUGGAUUGGUCAGGGGUUGUGCCCACACCUUGGUCGGCACGCUCACCCGAUCUCUCGGGUGAGCUUAAAUUUUGUUUUUUUUGUGUGGCCAUCUGAAAAGUCUUGUCUAAGGAAGCCCCAUCAUGUCUGAUGAGGACCUAGUUGCCAUAAUUUCUGUUGCUGCUGCCGCAAUCCGAGAAAUUCCGGGUCCAACUAACUCAUUUCUUAAGAGUAAUGCGAAAUGAAAAACUCCUUUGUUUUGUGGUACAACUAAAAAAAAAAAAAAAUUGAAAAGUAUAAUCCUCUUCAUAACAAUCUGAAGCAACAAGGAUCUUUCUUGAAGACAGCUUGUAUGGAUCCAUGCCUUGCAUACUUGAGUCACUUCAAAAAAUUAUAUGAGAGGGAUUCAAAAAAUACUUCGAAAAAAAAGAAUGUGAAGAAACUUCCAGACCAACACAUUAAAAAAGGCCAAAUGGAAUAAUUUGAACUUUUUUAUUGAUACAAACUUUAAACUAGGAAGGAAAAUUGUUUAUAAUUACAUACAAAUGAACAAAAAUUGCUGACAAACUUUCAGAAAUGCGGAACAGUCUUGACUAUGCUGAAUGUCAGAUAGAGAAAUGUUUGCAAUUAGUUUAUUCUUUUUUUUUUUUUUUUUUUUUUU